GAUGGACGCUGGCGGCGUGCUUAACACAUGCAAGUCGAACGAAGCAUUUGCGACAGAUUUUUUCGGAAUGAAGUUGCUUAUGACUGAGUGGCGGACGGGUGAGUAACGCGUGGGUAACCUGCCCUGUACUGGGGGAUAGCAGCUGGAAACGGCUGGUAAUACCGCAUAAGCGCACAAUGUUGCAUGACAUGGUGUGAAAAACUCCGGUGGUAUAAGAUGGACCCGCGUCUGAUUAGCUAGUUGGUGAGAUAACAGCCCACCAAGGCGACGAUCAGUAGCCGACCUGAGAGGGUGACCGGCCACAUUGGGACUGAGACACGGCCCAGACUCCUACGGGAGGCAGCAGUGGGGAAUAUUGCACAAUGGAGGAAACUCUGAUGCAGCGACGCCGCGUGAGUGAAGAAGUAAUUCGUUAUGUAAAGCUCUAUCAGCAGGGAAGAUAGUGACGGUACCUGACUAAGAAGCGCCGGCUAAAUACGUG
rnacentral:rRNA from 1 species